CCAACGGUCUAGUACGAAAUCGUACCGUACGCUUUGAGUUCUUUCUGUUCUUUGGGUAGCCAGCGAUGAUAUAGUCGUAAAGUCGCCUAGUCGUAUAGUCGCAUAGUCGCAUUGCUAACUAAAGAGUGUGUGUGCGUUGCGCUCGUCUCUUGACUCGUGCGUUACUUGAAACUGAUCAGAGCAACAUCAAUAAUUGAAUGUAACGCAACGAAAGCCAAGAAGUCGGUAGAAGGAACAACAACAA